GAGUUGAUGUUUUAGGGUUUAGAUUUGAAGGUUUAGAGUUUAGGGUUUACAGUUGAUGUUUCGGAGUUUAGUGUUUAGAGUUGAUGUUUCAUAGUUUAGGGUUUAGAGUUGAUGAUUUAGGGUUUAAAGUUGAUGUUUUAAGUUUAGAUUUAGGGUUUUUAGGGUUUAGAUUUGAAGGUUUAGGGUUUAGGGUUGAUGUUUCGGGGUUUAGAGUUGAUGUUUCAUGGUUUAGGGUUUAGAGUUAAUGAUUUAGGGUUUAGAGUUAAUAUUUUACGUUUAGAUUACCAUAUGUUUUUUUUUUUAAGUUAAUCAAAAGGUUAUAAAUGUCUUUUACCAUUCAUUAAAUAUGAGGAUAAAAGUGGUUAGUGUAAACAUGAAAAGUGGUACUUUGAAAAU
rnacentral:lncRNA from 1 species